AUACGUAGGGUGCGAGCGUUGUCCGGAAUUACUGGGCGUAAAGAGCUCGUAGGUGGUUUGUCGCGUCGUCUGUGAAAUUCCGGGGCUUAACUCCGGGCGUGCAGGCGAUACGGGCAUAACUUAAGUACUGUAGGGGAGACUGGAAUUCCUGGUGUAGCGGUGAAAUGCGCAGAUAUCAGGAGGAACACCGGUGGCGAAGGCGGGUCUCUGGGCAGUAACUGACGCUGAGGAGCGAAAGCAUGGGUAGCGAACAGGAUUAGAUACCCUGGUAGUCCAUGCCGUAAACGGUGGGCGCUAGGUGUAGGGGUCUUCCACGACUUCUGUGCCGUAGCUAACGCAUUAAGCGCCCCGCCUGGGGAGUACGGCCGCAAGGCUAAAACUCAAAGGAAUUGACGGGG
rnacentral:rRNA from 1 species